rnacentral:rRNA from 1 species
AGCGAACGCUGGCGGCAGGCCUAACACAUGCAAGUCGAGCGGGCCCUUCGGGGUCAGCGGCAGACGGGUGAGUAACGCGUGGGAACGUACCCUUAGGUUCGGAACAACUCCGGGAAACUGGAGCUAAUACCGGAUACGCCCUUUUUGGGGAAAGAUUUAUCGCCGAAGGAUCGGCCCGCGUCUGAUUAGCUAGUUGGUGAGGUAACGGCUCACCAAGGCGACGAUCAGUAGCUGGUCUGAGAGGAUGAUCAGCCACACUGGGACUGAGACACGGCCCAGACUCCUACGGGAGGCAGCAGUGGGGAAUAUUGGACAAUGGGCGCAAGCCUGAUCCAGCCAUGCCGCGUGAGUGAUGAAGGCCCUAGGGUUGUAAAGCUCUUUCACCCACGACGAUAAUGACGGUAGUGGGAGAAGAAGCCCCGGCUAACUUCGUGCCAGCAGCCGCCGUAACAC